rnacentral:pre_miRNA from 1 species
GUUCGUGUGUGGAUGGUGUUUAGCACCAGGGACAGGUGUGUUCGUGUGUGGAUGGUGUUCAGCACUAGAGACAGGUGUGUCUGUUU